UGCGCCUUUAGCUCAGUUGGUAGAGCAGUAGACUCUUAAUCUAUUUGUCCAGGGUUCGAGUCCCUGAAGGCGCAU
rnacentral:tRNA from 1 species